GACGAACGCUGGCGGCGUGCCUAAUACAUGCAAGUCGAACGCUUCUUUUUCCACCGGAGCUUGCUCCACCGGAAAAAGAGGAGUGGCGAACGGGUGAGUAACACGUGGGUAACCUGCCCAUCAGAAGGGGAUAACACUUGGAAACAGGUGCUAAUACCGUAUAACAAUCAAAACCGCAUGGUUUUGAUUUGAAAGGCGCUUUCGGGUGUCGCUGAUGGAUGGACCCGCGGUGCAUUAGCUAGUUGGUGAGGUAACGGCUCACCAAGGCCACGAUGCAUAGCCGACCUGAGAGGGUGAUCGGCCACAUUGGGACUGAGACACGGCCCAAACUCCUACGGGAGGCAGCAGUAGGGAAUCUUCGGCAAUGGACGAAAGUCUGACCGAGCAACGCCGCGUGAGUGAAGAAGGUUUUCGGAUCGUAAAACUCUGUUGUUAGAGAAGAACAAGGAUGAGAGUAACUGUUCAUCCCCUGACGGUAUCUAACC
rnacentral:rRNA from 1 species